ACAGAGGGAGUUAUUACUGUGAAGCCCAGAACAGAAGAGGACGUCAUAACUCCACCUUACACCUGGUUGGUGUCACAGGAAAAUUACCAGUAAAACUGAAUGUGAUCAGGUUAACUUUGAUGGUGCUGGUUCCUCUGCUUCUUUUGAUUCUGUGUAUGAGGAAGAAGAAACUCUUCAGCUGUGGGACUGAACCCAAUGAACCUGUGGAGGCUGUAGAGGUGAAAGAGAUCAGAGCAUGUGACCAGAACUGAUUAUUAACCAUGUGCUGAACUGUAGAUGUGAACCACAGAACAAAUCCAGGAAGUCAUUUUAUCAGUGUCAAAAUAUUUCUAUAAUAAGAUAAGAUAAGAUAAGAUGAGAUGUUCCUUUCUCCAUCCUGCAGUGGGGAACUUCUAGUUAACAGCAGCAGAGACAUUCAGCAUCACAGACAGUGCACAUAUGGGUGGACUAAAGGAUAAA